CCUUGUUUAUCUCGAUGAGGGAAAAGCAACCACACCCAAGGCCUCUGAACCUAGACCUGAGGUUCUAGGAUUAACUGGCCCCUUCCCUUCCACAAUUGCUGAGAAGGGAGAGAAUCUGCAGGGACGGCGGUGCUCUGGGCUGGGUCUCUACCUAAGUCCUCAGCUUCCAGCCCCACAGCCACCCCACUCCCACCCACAUCUGGGCCUGUGGGCGGCUAGCAACAAGACAAAGCAACUAAAAACACGGGUAGCAGAAGCAUCAAUGUCCACACUGGAGGGACCAGGGCGAAGCUAGCGACCAGCCAGUGCGAGCAGCGUGGGGUCACAAUUCACUCUGCGGCAUAAACCCGCCGAGCGAGAGGUACGAGAGGAGGACCACGGGAACUCGGGAUGCGGGGUUCGGGACGCGGGAAAAGGAGACGCCCCUCCCCCACCUCAAGCAGGAAACAGCAGUAUUUGGCCCAGACGAGUGGCGGCACAUGCGCACUCGGUUACUUAGCAACGUCGACGUUAAACUGCCCGAGAACCCAGCCCAGCAACAAUCGAGCGUCCCGCGACCUCCACCAAUCAGCGCCUGCCUCAUCUUUGUCUCCUCACCAAUCAGCGCUGGCGCCGCAAGGAAGUUUCCAGAGCUUUCGAGGGCGGGCCCUUUAACUUGGAUUCAUCCGCUUGAUGAUUUUUUCAUUUUUUUGUACAAGAGGAGACGGGUCGCCGGGAAUACAGGGGCGCUCGUUUGGUAGGGUUCUUUCCUUCGGUUCUGAGGAAUCGGGAGCUCUGCUGAAACGCCUAAUUAGUCUGCGGGAGGUGGGGCCCGCGGAACUACUUUCGGUGGCGCAGGAAGACGACAGCUACGUAGGAGUGAGUAGUCACGCAACAGACGCUGCAUAAAUAGCGGCUCGCGCGGCUGCGCUGCUCAGUGACGAGAGGCUUUGUCCGGUUCUACGGUCUUUCCGUGAGGGUGUUUCGACGCGCUGGGCGGUUUGUGCUUUCAUUGCAUUCAUUAACAGGUCAAAAUGCAGAUCUUCGUGAAGACCCUGACCGGCAAGACCAUCACCCUGGA